UCACCUCAAAAAAGGGUAUUGACAGGGGUGGUUCGAUUCACCUCCCAGCACUCUAGUUUAUAUAAUCAGGUUGGGAAGGGUUUGAAUGGAAAACCUUAGUCUGCCCUGCCAUAUUUCUUUCCAAAUACUGGUUUGGGCCAGGACAGGACUAACAGAAUAUUGCUGGCCCAAGCCUGACAAUUGUCCAUGCCAGGCUGGCUGGGUCCCUAAAGUUCAUGAACAGGUCUAAUCGCAAGUAUUUAAAUCUGAUAAAAAUGGAUGUCGGGAUCAGUUCUGGUCCUAUCAUAAUCCCAAUCUGAGAUCUUUGUUAUUUUUUCUUGAUUCAUAUGAUAAUUCUGAUGAAAGCACAUGGACAUGGGUAACAUCUUCAUAGAUUGGCUAAGAAUCUGUAAUUGCAAAUAGGCAACUGGUUUUUUACAUGGCACAAAUGAUUAGCAGUUAGUUUGACAAUUGAGACUUAGAUGGCUCAGAAUGCUAAUGAAUUCAAUUAAGAUUCGAGUUUCCUAAAUUUUUGAGCUAAUGGAUUGAGACAACUACUUGUUAGAUCAUUCAAUUUGGAUCUCUUGUGCAUCCCUGGCAUUACCAUCUAUCUCUGACCUGUCUUUUGUGGUAGGAUUAGACUUUGCUUGUGGCUUACUCAUAUGAAGUUUACAACAUAACUCUCAGGAAGGGGGGAGGGAUAAAGGAAAUAGGAAAACACAAAGAUGAGUGUAGAUCCUGCUCUCAUUUGGCUGUUUGUUGAAAGUACAAGCCCUGAUAUACCUGUUCUCACAGCAUCAUUUUUAUAUGAGACUGUCUUCUUGAAGUUCAUGAAAUAUAAUUUUACCUUAAGAGGAUUUACUGUGUAUAUAAAGUAUCAAUGACCAUCUGCUAUUGAUGCAGAACCCUAGUUUCACACACAAAAAUGUUUCAAUCAACAAAAACCAAAUAUUCCAGUAAAGGCUACAUUCAUACUCUAGCUUUACAAAUGGGUAUACUGCAUUAGCUAUGCUCCUGGUAUUGCAUCGAUUAAAGAAUUUAUAUUUCCAAAGGACACCUUCUCAUAUGUGUGUUUCCUCUAGUUUUUGGAGAUCCAUUUAUGGUGUUUUCCUAUAGGUUCCUGGCAUAGCUUAAUAUGCGGCUUAAGUACAUACAGAUUAUUGUUGAAUUUUUGUCCUCUAUAUGGUAGAUAUGCACACCAUUGGAAUUUAUGGUGCUGGCACAUAAAUUCCAAAAGCUGUUCAUUAGGCUUGGUAUUGCAAUGCUGCAAUCCAUUCAAUUGCUGAAUCUGGUGUUUUUUAAAGCUCAAUGUAAACUUACGAACCAAGGUUUCGUGAAGGCGAAGCACAAAGUAUGAUAUGAAGCCAUGAAGGUGCUUGUUUGAGUUAAUAUAAGUCUAAAUCUCUUUAUAUGAAAAAUAAUUAUAAAACGUCAAAGGAACAAGAGAAAGUUAUGACAGUAGUGAUUUGUGUAUCUCAUUUAACUUAAAUUGUUGAGCACUGUGCCACUGCACAAAGGUUGUACAUUUGAAUCCUGCAUGAGCUAUUUAAAUUAUUUAAAACUUCAAUCUGAUGAUAUGCAAUGCAACCAAGCUAAAUGGUUAUGAAAAGAAAAUUGAAACAAUUUUAGUUCACCUCUUUCUAUUAUGAUUUCCAAACUUGGACAUGAGCAUGGAAAAGCAAGAUGAAGAAAAAAGAAAAUUAAGUUUACAAAUUGCCUGGACUUUGAAAUACAUGUGGAAUUAUGGUGUUUUACCAACAGAAUUUAUCUGUUUUGGGGAAAUUGCGUACAAAGGAGAGAGCAA
rnacentral:misc_RNA from 1 species